rnacentral:rRNA from 1 species
UACAGAGGGGGCAAGCGUUGUUCGGAAUUACUGGGAGUAAAGGGCGCGUAGGCGGCCUGUUAAGUCGAACGUGAAAUCCCCGGGCUCAACCCGGGAACUGCGUCCGAUACUGGCAGGCUUGAAUCCGGGAGAGGGAUGUGGAAUUCCAGGUGUAGCGGUGAAAUGCGUAGAUAUCUGGAGGAACACCGGUGGCGAAGGCGGCAUCCUGGACCGGUAUUGACGCUGAGGCGCGAAAGCCAGGGGAGCAAACGGG